rnacentral:rRNA from 1 species
CACGUAGGGUGCGAGCGUUUGUCCGGAAUUAUUGGGCGUAAAGAGCUCGUAGGCGGUGUGUCGCGUCGGCCGUGAAAACCUGCAGCUUAACUGUGGGCUUGCGGUCGAUACGGGCAUCACUGGAGUUCGGUAGGGGAGACUGGAAUUCCUGGUGUAGCGGUGAAAUGCGCAGAUAUCAGGAGGAACACCGGUGGCGAAGGCGGGUCUCUGGGCCGAAAUUGACGCUGAGGAGCGAAAGCGUGGGGAGCGAACAGG